rnacentral:misc_RNA from 1 species
GCAUGCCUGAUUAUUCUUUAAUUAUUUUUGGCCAUGAAAAUGACCAAAAGCAUCUUUAAGAAAAUAAAUGAUAAUGGGUACUGUUAUUUUGCAUAAAAUAUCCGAAGGAAACCUAGCUAAUACUGAGAAAGAUCGUUUUCUACUUUAUGGAGGUACGAUAAAUACGGGUAGAAUCUGAUUCAGAUUAUCCAUAUACUUUUGUGAUAUUCUGUCAACUUUAAUAUCUAUCCUAGCACUCACUUUAAUCCUAAAUUCUUAACCCCCAACAAAAUGAUAAUAAUAUAUUAGACCACCAUCAAAAUUUAAUGUCACCUGAUGAGCAUAUAUACAUAUAUAUAAGGACUAGUAUAAUACCUGGCCCUACGAUUUUGAAACCA